UACGGGGGGGGGCAAGCGUUGUUCGGAAUUACUGGGCGUAAAGGGCGCGUAGGCGGCCUUCUAAGUCGGACGUGAAAUCCCUCGGCUUAACCGAGGAACUGCGUCCGAGACUGAAAGGCUUGAAUCCGGGAGAGGGAUGUGGAAUUCCAGGUGUAGCGGUGAAAUGCGUAGAUAUCUGGAGGAACACCGGUGGCGAAGGCGGUUCUCUGGGCCUUACCUGACGCUGAGGAGCGAAAGCGUGGGGAGCGAACAGG
rnacentral:rRNA from 1 species